CAUUAAUGAUGUGGUGAUGGCCAAUCCAGACCACGUGAGCACAGUCAACAUAACCUAUAAAAUAUAAACAGUCGGUUGCAAUGACGCUCAAACUUUCUCGUGAAUAUUGUCGAUAGUUAUGAAAUAUUGAAUCUACAGUUACUUGAGUUAAUAAUAUGAACAAAAAUUAUUGUGAGUGUCUUGCUGAAAUAUAUAUUGCAAAAGAAGUGGACUAUGAUGAUUGGAAUAAACAUGUUUCUUGUUUAUGCAGCAGAGUCAUAAUAAGAAGUUAUACUCCCAGUACUUUAUCCAAUGAUGUUGAAAGCAUUGAAGGCCGCUGCAGUUAUGAACAGGAAGAAUGCGACGGGGAAGUAGAUAAUUUUGAUUUGAACACCAGAGAUGAAAAAAUAGUUUGCCAAUCAACAGGAGCUGCAAAUUUACAUGAGAAAGGUAUUUGCAAAAAGAGAAUUCAUAUUCGCGAGUUGAAUUGCAAUUUCACAUUGUACCUUGUAGACAGAAAUAAUAAUGCCUUCGAUCAAUAUAAUUUACGAUAUAAAAAAAUCCAAUGUGUUAACAAACUAUUGAAUAAAUUCAAUAUUUUCCUGGGAAACACAUCAUUAUUCUCUAAUAGAACAAUAUUAUAUACAAUAGUUGAAUCGUUUAUUUUAAAAGAUUCAAAUUUUGUUAUUAGAUACAUUUUAAACUGUUGUGAGCAACAGGUAGCGUAUCAUUUGUUAGUACCUCAGAGCUGUCAUCAAUUACAACAGUAUGAUAUUAUCAAGAAUUAUAAACUUCUUCAUUACUUCAGAUUCGCUGAUUACUUUCUGAGCAAAUCCUCAUUUCAAUUCCAGUGGGGAGAUUUUUGGUCUAAUAGUGGAGAUUACAUUACAAAGUUAUCCUGGACUUUGAAAUACAAAGAUUAUAUACAUCCUGAUCAGUUGAAUACUGCUUACAAUGAGAUAUGGGAAAUCAGUGAGAAUAAUAGCUGCUCUAAUAUAAAAAAAUGUAUUCAAGAGCAAAUAGUUUAUUUAAAUACCGAGAGUGAUAUUGCAAGUAAGUAUAGAAAAUCAAGAAAAGUUAUAAACUCUGAAAUUUUAUCAGAAAAGUAUAAGAAGCAGUUGUCUCUAAUAACAAAUUUGGGCUCUCAAUUGGAAAGUACUUCAGUGCUAGAUCCCGGAUUUGCUUUGGUAGUAUUAUCAAGUGACACUACAUGGGAACAUUUAUGGCAAAUACAUUAUGAGGAACAAUAUGUUAACUGCUAUUUCUUCUUUCAUGAAUACUGUGUAGAACAAUCUGAUAUACUUAAAAAACUUUGUUUUAUUUCAAAUUUUCUAAAAGUAAAUCAACCAUCUGAAUCCUGUAAAAGAAUAAAUUCAAGCAAAGACUUGUUAAUAAAUUUUGUUGAUGAAACAUUGAAAAAUAUACACUGUAACUUUCAUAAAAAAGUUAUUUAUGAAUCUAUAGUUCCUGAGAGAUUAUUACAAACAAAUGAAUUUUGUAAAAAUCAUGCUCAGCAGCAUAUGUAUGAAUCAUCAAAUGCUGUUGUAAAUAAUGAAUAUGAAGUAGAAAAUGAUUCCUACAAGGAUUUAGAUGAAGUUAUAAGUGCUUUGAAAAGAAUGGGUUUUGCAUAUGAUAACAAGAUGAAUGGUGACAAAUUGAAGGGUGAAGUAAUAUUUAAAAAGAAGAAUAUUACAUUUCACAGAAGGCAUUUGAAAAACAAAUGGUCUUACAUUAAUCGAUUUCCUAUGUCAUCAGAACAUAAUGAAACGCAUUCUGCAAAUGAUGAAAAUGACAUUGACAGUAGUGUAAACAAUUCUAUGCCAAACAUCAAUGCAGAUGCAAAUGAGAUACAGCAACUGGCUAAUGAGACGAAUUCUGUGGAAUAUGAAGAUGAGCAAAAACUGAUUGGCGUGGUUGAUGACAAUUUGGUUGAAAACUUGGACACUGAUCAAAAAGAAACUGAUGACGUUGAAGUGAAGAGCAACAGUAGUAACACAAAGAGAGUUAGGAAGAACAAAAAACGUCCUAAGAAAAAAAGUAUGCUACCAGAAUAUGUGCAAAAGAAUCCAAUUCUUAAAAAGUAUUGGGCUAAACGAUAUCGACUGUUCAGUAAAUUUGAUGAAGGAAUAAAGUUAGACGACGAAAGCUGGUUUUCUGUAACUCCAGAAAAAGUUGCAAAGCAUAUAGCAGAAAGAUGCAGAUGUGACAUGUUAAUUGAUGCUUUUUGUGGAGCUGGAGGAAAUUCCAUUAGUUUUGCAUUUACUUGCGAAAGAGUUUAUGCUAUAGACAUUGAUCCCAAGAAAAUUGAAAUGGCACGACAUAAUGCUAGGAUAUAUGGGGUUGAAGAUAGGAUAGAAUUUAUCAUUGGUGACUUCUUCUGUUUAGCCGAGAGAUUAUUUGGAGAUGUGGUAUUCUUAAGUCCUCCUUGGGGAGGUCCUUCUUAUAUACAGGACAAGUCAUUUGACAUAGAAAAUAUAAUGGAUCCUCAUGGAGGAAUAAAAUUGUUUGAGGUUUCAAAAAGAAUAUCAGACAAUAUUGCAUAUUUUCUUCCAAAAAAUAUCAACACGUUGCAAUUAGCUAUGACAGCUGGCCCAGGUUCUAAAAUUGAACUUGAGCAAAAUUUUCUGGACAGUCAAUUGAUUGCAGUUACGGCUUAUUAUGGAGAAUUGUCACGAUGAAUAAAUUUCUUACGUUUUCAUUAUUGCCUAUAUUUGAAUAAGUAUCGGUCGGCGGUGUUAUAUACACAUGCGCAGCGCUAUUGCACGCAUCCCACGUGAUCACGCAUAACGUGUGUUCUGCUAGCGCCAGCGCGAUGCGCGCAUCUAAGGAGCGUGUGCUUUUAAGUUUUAUAUCUGCUGAAUUUCUAACCUAAAGUUAGUGUUUUACUAUGAUAAUAGGUGCUCGCGUGUCUUUCAUCGCAUUGUUCUAAAUGGUCUUGAUUAAUUCAUUUCGAUGGUGGGGCGGCUUUGGAGUACUUAAUGAUUCACUGGACUGUAGGGGAAACCAACUUCUACCGUACCUACAAAAAAAGACAAGUUGACGAGAUAAUAGAGUGCAAAGAAAAAGCAUCACUACUAGAGAGUGGCCUAGUACGCAUCAAAUUAAGAAAUCAGUGAAUAGCCAAGAUUGCAAUGCCUGCAGGUGUAUCCUGGCCAAGGUACAUAAGCUUCUUUGCCGUGUCGAUGCUCAGUGCAUACGCUGGAGCACAGCUGGUGCACAUUUAUUACAAACCUCUGGAUGACCUGGAUGAUAUGGUUCAAGAGGAAAUUGAAAGAAGAAGAAAGGCUGGUCUGUUGAAAUCCUCUGUAAUCUAGUCUAGGUGUUGAAGUUACAUAAUCUAGCGCAUGCCUCCAUGUCCGAUGAGUCAAGAGAGUGUUUAGCAGGCCACUAGAAAGAAUAUUUUGAUAUUUUAAAAAAUGAUAAAAAUGAAUGCAGAAAUUAUGUGACAUGCAGAGUUGUACGACAAAUAAAAUAUCAACUUUGAAUACA